GCCCACCCAAAAUCUUUCAUGGCCUCCAAACGCCCAUCUAAGAGCAGCGACGAUGGAAUCUUAUUGCGAAUCUCCGAUCACUCCAUCGUGCAAAAGGGGAAGAGCGCCGCCUGCGACGCCAAGUACGUUGCCAUGCGCCUCCUCCUUCCCCCUUUCUCCUUCCUCGCCUCAGACCCCCAAUCACACCACAUAUUUCUCGCCCUAUUCGCCGCCUCAUUCCUCG
rnacentral:lncRNA from 1 species